rnacentral:tRNA from 1 species
GAGGAUAUAGCUCAAAUGGUAGACUGCAUGCUUAGCAUGCAUGAGGUCCUGGGUUCAAUCCCCAGUACCUCCU